CGGGUCCGGCUCGGGCAGUGGCUCGGGUUCGGGCUCCGGCAGCGGCGGCGGUGGUUCGAUGCCGCCGAUCCCGG
rnacentral:tRNA from 1 species